rnacentral:rRNA from 1 species
UACGUAGGUGACAAGCGUUGUCCGGAUUUACUGGGCGUAAAGAGCGCGCAGGCGGUCGUUCAAGUCGAGUGUGAAAGCCCCCGGCUCAACUGGGGAGGGUCACUCGAUACUGAUCGACUCGAAGGCAGGAGAGGGUAGUGGAAUUCCCGGUGUAGUGGUGAAAUGCGUAGAUAUCGGGAGGAACACCAGUGGCGAAGGCGACUACCUGGCCUGUUCUUGACGCUGACGGCGCGAAAGCUAGGGAGCAA